rnacentral:rRNA from 1 species
AGUGAACGCUGGCGGUAGGCCUAACACAUGCAAGUCGAACGGCCGCACAGUAAGAGCUUGCUCUUACGGGUGGCGAGUGGCGGACGGGUGAGGAAUACAUCGGAAUCUACUUUUUCGUGGGGGAUAACGUAGGGAAACUUACGCUAAUACCGCAUACGACCUACGGGUGAAUGCAGGGGAUCUUCGGACCUUGCGCGAUUGAAUGAGCCGAUGUCGGAUUAGCUAGUUGGCGGGGUAAAGGCCCACCAAGGCGACGAUCCGUAGCUGGUCUGAGAGGAUGAUCAGCCACACUGGAACUGAGACACGGUCCAGACUCCUACGGGAGGCAGCAGUGGGGAAUAUUGGACAAUGGGCGCAAGCCUGAUCCAGCCAUACCGCGUGAGUGAAGAAGGCCUUCGGGUUGUAAAGCCCUUUUGUUGGGAAAGAAAAGCAGCAGGUUAAUACCCCGCUGUUCUGACGGUACCCAAAGAAUAAGCACCGGCUAACUUCGUG